CCUACGGGUGGCAGCAGUGGGGAAUAUUGGACAAUGGGGGGAACCCUGAUCCAGCCAUGCCGCGUGUGUGAAGAAGGCCCUCGGGUUGUAAAGCACUUUCAGUGAGGAAGAAUGCCUGGUGGUUAAUACCCAUCAGGAAAGACAUCACUCACAGAAGAAGCACCGGCUAACUCCGUGCCAGCAGCCGCGGUAAUACGGAGGGUGCGAGCGUUAAUCGGAAUUACUGGGCGUAAAGCGCGCGUAGGUGGCUUGAUAAGCCGGUUGUGAAAGCCCCGGGCUCAACCUGGGAACGGCAUCCGGAACUGUCAAGCUAGAGUGCAGGAGAGGAAGGUAGAAUUCCCGGUGUAGCGGUGAAAUGCGUAGAGAUCGGGAGGAAUACCAGUGGCGAAGGCGGCCUUCUGGACUGACACUGACACUGAGGUGCGAAAGCGUGGGUAGCAAACAGGAUUAGAUACCCCGGUAGUC
rnacentral:rRNA from 1 species